UUGGAGGGCAAGUCUGGUGCCAGCAGCCGCGGUAAUUCCAGCUCCAAUAGCGUAUAUUAAAGUUGUUGCAGUUAAAAAGCUCGUAGUUGAAUUUUAGGCCUGACCGGGCGGUCCGUCUUUGGCGAGUACUGUCUGUUGUUGGGUCUUCCUUCUGGUGAACCAGUAUGUCCUUUAUUGGGUGUGUUGGGGAGCCAGGACCAUUACCUUGAAAAAAUUAGAGUGUUUAAAGCAGGCUUUAGCUUGAAUACAUUAGCAUGGAAUAAUGAAAUAGGACGUUUGAUCCUAUUUUGUUGGUUUCUAGGAUUGACGUAAUGAUUAAUAGGGAUAGUUGGGGGCAUUAGUAUUCAAUUGUCAGAGGUGAAAUUCUUGGAUUUAUUGAAGACUAACUACUGCGAAAGCAUUUGCCAAGGAUGUUUUCAUUAAUCAAGAACGAAAGUUAGGGGAUCGAAGACGAUCAGAUACCGUCGUAGUCUUAACCAUAAACUAUGCCGACUAGGGAUCGGAUGAUGUUAAUUUUUUAAUGACUCAUUCGGCGCCUUACGGGAAAC
rnacentral:rRNA from 1 species